ACGUAGCAAUACGUUUGUAAAGCGGCGAACGGGUGAGGAAUACAUGGGUAACCUACCCUCGAGUGGGGAAUAACUAGCCGAAAGGUUAGCUAAUACCGCGUACGCUUCUUGGACUUCGGUUCAGGGAGGAAAGCGAUACCGUGGGUAUCGCGCUCUUGGAUGGGCUCAUGUCCUAUCAGCUUGUUGGUGAGGUAACGGCUCACCAAGGCUUCGACGGGUAGCUGGUCUGAGAGGACGAUCAGCCACACUGGCACUGCGACACGGGCCAGACUCCUACGGGAGGCAGCAGUAAGGAAUAUUGCGCAAUGGGCGAAAGCCUGACGCAGCGACGCCGCGUGGGGGAUGAAGGUCUUCGGAUUGUAAACCCCUUUCGGGAGGGAAGAUGGAAUGGGGUAACCCAUUCGGACGGUACCUCCAGAAGCAGCCACGGCUAACUUCGUGCCAGCAGCCGCGGUAAUACGAAGGUGGCAAGCGUUGUUCGGAUUUACUGGGCGUACAGGGAGCGUAGGCGGUUCGGUAAGCCCUCUGUGAAAUCUCCAGGCUUAACCUGGAACAGUCGGAGGGGACUGCCGGGCUAGAGGACGGGAGAGGAGCGCGGAAUUCCCGGUGUAGCGGUGAAAUGCGUAGAGAUCGGGAGGAAGGCCGGUGGCGAAGGCGGCGCUCUGGAACGUUUCUGACGCUGAGGCUCGAAAGCGUGGGGAGCAAACAGGAUUAGAUACCCUGGUAGUCCACGCCUUAAACUAUGGAUACUAAGUGUCGGCGGGUUACCGCCGGUGCCGCAGCUAACGCAUUAAGUAUU
rnacentral:rRNA from 1 species